rnacentral:lncRNA from 10 species
GGUUGAAAAUACAGUACAAAGGGGGCUGACUUUUCAUAUGCCAACUGUGGGACUUAAGUAUGCACAGAUUUUGGUAUCCAUGGGCAGUCCUGGAACCAAUCCUCCACAUACACCGAGGGACAACUGUAUAUGGUAACACUACGCCUUGUUAGGGAAAAGAACAAUUCACUUCCAAAUUCACUUACCUGAGAAGUUGUACGAAAGUACAAAGUAGGUCACAAGAAGUAAGUUUUCUUAUUUUCCAUGAUCAUGGUCAAUGUAAAACAAGUCAGUCUCCUAUGAGCCCUACAUAGCUAAGGCUAGAAUGAUUAUAAUACAGGUGGUUUGAAUGAAGAGCAGAUGGCUGAAAGGGAAUCACUUGAGGCUUUCCCACACAGUAUUUUGACCAUGAUUGCAUAGAGUGUGUCUUAGUUGAGGCAAUUUUAAUAAAAAUACCAUAGACCGGGUGGCUUAAACAACAAACAUUUAUGUCUCACAGUUCUGGAGGCUGGGAAGUCCCAAGAUCAAGGCACCAGCAGAUCCAGUGUCUGGUGAGGACCCACUUCCUGACUUGUAGACAGGCACCUUCUCACUGUGUUCUCACACAUCCAAGAUAAAUCAUCUCUUAAAAGGGCACUAAUUCCAUUCAUGAGGGUUCUACCCUCAUGACAUUACCUCCCAAAGGCCCCACCUCCGAAUACCAUCACACUGAAAAUUAGGCUUAAACAUAUGUAUGGAAGGGAGCCGCAGGACACAAACAUUCAGUCCAUAGUACAGUAUAUAUAAAUAAUCCUCAGCCAUCCAACUGAUUAUGAAGAGUGUUAGUAAGGAUGCUUGCUAUUGGCAAUAAGAAAAAAAGCCAGCACUUAAGAGAUUGUAAAAUGGAUUGGUUGACCAGGCGCAGUGGCUCACGCCUGUUAUCCCAGCACUUUGGGAGGCUGAGGCAGGUGGAUCACUUGAUGUCAGGAGUUUGAGACCAGCCUGACCAGCAAGAUGAAACCCUGUCUCUACUGAAAAUACAAAAUUUGCCAGGCAUGGUGGUGGGCACUUGUAAUCCCAGCUGCUUGGGAGGCUGAGGCAGGAUAAUCACUUGAACCUGGGGGGUGAGCUGAGAUCACGCCAUUGUACUCCAGCCUGGGCAACAAGAGCGAAACUUCGUCUCAAAAAUAAUAAUAAAAUGGGUUGGUAGAGGGUUCAGAGAUAACAAGAACCCCAGAUUAUUUCCAUCUUUCCCAUCCUGUCAUUUUUAGCAUUUUUUCUCACUGGACCAAUAAUAUGAUCAAAGAUGCCUACCAUGAUUCUAGGUAUCAUGUGUAGACCAACAAUGUUGAUAGGAUUUGGCUGUGUUCCCACCCAAAUCUCACCUUGAAUUGAAGUUCCCAUAAUCCCCACAUGUCAUUGGAAGGACCCAGUGGGAGGUAAUUGAAUCAUGGGUGUGGUUUCCCCCAUGCUAUUCUCGUGAUAGUGAGUUCUCACGGGAUCUGAUGGUUUGAUAAGGGGCUUCCCCUUUCUCCUUCCUGCCACCCUGUGAAGAAUGAUGUGUUUGCUUCCCCUUCCGCCGUUAUUGUAAGUUUCCUGAAACCUUCCCACCCUUGCAGAACUGUGAGUCAAUUAAACCUCAUUCCUUUAUAAAUUACCCAGUCUCGGGCAUGUCCUUAUAGCAGCAUGAGAACGGACUAAUAGAAAUGUCCAGUGAAAGAAAAUAUCAUUUUAUUCCUCAUGUGUCUUUGAUAAGGAGUGAAAAACCUUUCCCUAAGCUCCUCAGCAAAAUUCCCGUCAUAUCUCAACCAGUACUGGGUCACUUACCUGUCUAAUCACUGGCCAAGGGGGUGGGAACACUCUGACUUAGAUGGAUCGUAUUUACCCAAGCUGGCUGCAUGAGGGUGGACAGUGAAUCAGAAUUGAGACUGCCAGAAUGGAGGAGCAAAUAGGGGCUUCUGGGUAGGUGUAAACAGAAACCGCACCCAGAGUCAAAUUAGAUAUUGAGAAUUAGAUAUUAGGUGCAGAGUACUGUAAGAAAUGAAACAUUUCUUGCCCUCAGAGCUUAGGUCUGAGAUUGUGGUUCUCAAUCAUAUUAGACUUAGCUGACCCUGUUUAUAAUAACAUUGUAACAUAAUAUCUAUCACAUCCACUAUCCUGAAAUGACAUUCACAUGAUAUAACCUACUUAUUGGCACGACAUGAAGAAACAUCAGUCAAUACCUUUAUGGUAAUAUGAAGGAGAAAUAUAAUCAGGUUGCAAUAAAAUUGUGCAUUUUAGUAUGUCAGUGCCCACAUAGACUAGAAGACAAUGGAGUAGUCAGGUGCUUGCCCUUACAUAUGGAAGAAGAAAACAUCAGAGUAUUGUUGACACUCUUUGA